UUUCCUUUUCAAAUCAUGGGUUUGUAAUAACGAAGUCAAAGCAGACAGCUACUUUACUCAGGGAAUUGACAAAUGGAAACAACAAAGAUGUCAGCUUCUUUUUUCAUAUUUAUUUUGAUUGUUAUAAUACAAGGAAAAAAUGAAGCUGCUCCGGCGAGGGAUUAUGAUGGUGUUCCUAGUG